AUUAUUUACAGGCCGCCUCGCCGCGCUGGGAGCCACAGAUCGCCGUGCUCUGCGAAGCCGGACAAAUCUAUCAGCCGCAAUAUCUAUCCGAGGAGGGGCGCUGGGUAACGGACCUCAGCAAGAAGACAACGGGCGCCACAUGUUUGCGUGAUAAAAUGGAUUUGCUUGAUUACUGCAAGAAGGUAAACCCGCAGCGUGGCAUUACAA